UGGGGAAUCUUGGACAAUGGGCGCAAGCCUGAUCCAGCCAUGCCGCGUGAGUGAAGAAGGCCUUCGGGUUGUAAAGCUCUUUUACCAGGGACGAUAAUGACGGUACCUGGAGAAUAAGCCCCGGCAAACUUCGUGCCAGCAGCCGCGGUAAUACGAAGGGGGCUAGCGUUGUUCGGAAUUACUGGGCGUAAAGCGCACGUAGGCGGAUUGUUAAGUCAGAGGUGAAAUCCCGGAGCUCAACUUCGGAACUGCCUUUGAUACUGGCAAUCUAGAGUCCGGAAGAGGUUAGUGGAAUUCCCAGUGUAGAGGUGAAAUUCGUAGAUAUUGGGAAGAACACCAGUGGCGAAGGCGGCUAACUGGUCCGGUACUGACGCUGAGGUGCGAAAGCGUGGGGAGCAAACAGGAUUAGAUACCCUCGUAGUCCCUGAGCGGGCUGGCAAGGCGCAU
rnacentral:rRNA from 1 species